GCUGGUUUCCUCUGAGUUCUCUGGUUUCCUCCUACUUCACAAACUCAUCCAGGGUCAGUGGAAGCUGGAUCCUAUGCCAGGGAACUUGGGGCACGAGGCUGAGGACACCCCAUCUGACCCAUAGUGCAGCACUCACUCACACAGACAUUUUGGAGAUCAAUCAGCCUACAAAGCAUGUCCAGACUGAGGGGAGAAAAUCAGAAUACGAUGAGGAAACUCCUGAAACAUUGGGAAAACAUACAAAUGCCAUGUUUACAAGAGGCAGGGUUUGAAUCCCCAGGGAUGUGACGCCAACCUGCCAACCAUAUGAUAUAAUGAAUGAUUUAUCAUGAAUGAUUUGUUUCCAAAUAAAUUACUCAGUCAAGAAACUGA